AGUGAACGCUGGCGGUAGGCCUAACACAUGCAAGUCGAACGGCAGCACAGUAAGAGCUUGCUCUUACGGGUGGCGAGUGGCGGACGGGUGAGGAAUACAUCGGAAUCUACUUUUUCGUGGGGGAUAACGUAGGGAAACUUACUCUAAUACCGCAUACGACCUACGGGUGAAAGCAGGGGAUCUUCGGACCUUGCGCGAUUGAAUGAGCCGAUGUCGGAUUAGCUAGUUGGCGGGGUAAAGGCCCACCAAGGCGAGGAUCCGUAGCUGGUCUGAGAGGAUGAUCAGCCACACUGGAGCUGAGACACGGUCCAGACUCCUACGGGAGGCCGCAGUGGGGAAUAUUGGACAAUGGGCGCAAGCCUGAUCCAGCCAUACCGCGUGGGUGAAGAAGGCCUUCGGGUUGUAAAGCCCUUUUGUUGGGAAAGAAAAGCAGCAGGUUAAUACCCCGCUGUUCUGACGGUACCCAAAGAAUAAGCACCGGCUAACUUCGUG
rnacentral:rRNA from 1 species